AUGUUCCACGUUGUUGUUGUUGUUGUUAACCACGAUGGAUAACAGAAGAGGAAGCUUGUAAACAUCAAUCUUUCUGCUUCUGAUCACUGAUAGCACAGCAGUAACAUAUUUGCAGAUUCUUUUUUACCAAAAACCCUAAAGAUCCUCAAAGCGAAGGCAUUUAUAUAGUUCUGAGCACAGGCUUGGGCUUCAUUGCAGCAGGCAGAAACCCACUCCCCUUAAAUUCAUGGCUCUUGCAUCCCCAUAUGUUAUAAACACACACACGCACACUCCACUGCGCCUGGUUUGAUCAUGUCACUGGUGUAGUUAAAUAAGUAAUACCAACACCCAGUGUGCAUGGCAGUUUUUUUCUACCGACAAGCUGAGGUUGACCCAUUUCUUUGUUCGAUUGACUUACGUAGGGAUCUUUGAAAUGAGAUCACUUGUCGGUGGAAGUUUCGCCAAAGACU
rnacentral:lncRNA from 1 species